UGGAGCGUUCAAGCGUCUACAUGUGGAAUGGCACUGUGUAGCUUUUUCAAAGCCCAAGCGAAAGGGUUUCAACUGGAGUAUUUAACAUCGCUGGGAGCGAAGAAAUAAAAAGAGGAGUCAGUGUUGAUUAUUGCUCAUUAGUCACAAGGACAUCCACUUAACGGGCGGAUAAAUGAGACACACUAUGCCCCACUAGGAAUGGCCCCGUGUAGCUCUGAGCGAAAUGUUCGUUAAUGUAUUCUACUUGCACAGUAGAAGAAAGCGUCCGUCGGACAUGUAUGUUGACAUCAGGAACCAUGAUUACUUUGUUUCGUGUGGGAUAUUUUAAUCCCUAAUUUCAUGCAACGAUCAGAGGGACGUCAGCCCGGUUGAGGUGUGUGUGCCAGGGUUUCAGCGUUGUUUCAUAUGAAUUCCAUUGAUCAAAACAGAGUGUGCGGUCCCUCAGCAAAAAAAAACACACACACAAAAAAAACAAUCUCCCUACACAGAAAACAAUCAUCAAUAUUUAUAACAAUAACGAGCCUGGGCGGUGCAUAAUUGUUGGAUGGCCUUGUUGUGCCAAUCCUGUCGGCCAGAUUUGCGCCACUGCAUUAAACAUUUUCCCAACGUCGCUACCGCUAUUUAAUAUUGCUGUCAUGUAGACUGAAAUAAGUUUAAAGCGUAGCCUACGUUUUAGAAGGAAGUACAUUUCAUUUUUUCCCUUUUCUAAACACUAUUCAAUCGGGUCAUUGUGUUGUGGAACUACUUGUGGCUGCGCAUUCAACAGCGCAUUGCAAACAUGCUGAGAAUCUCCAAGGGUCUGCUAUGGGCAACGCGUCCUCUCCCUUGACCUGCUCUGAGGGUAUGCUAGCGGAUCAGUGGUGACUGGAGAUGUUGGUCACACCAAGCUUCGUGGUACUUCCUGCACCCGAGCCAGUGGUGCGUUUCCGAGUGAAAGCGGGAAGCUACGAGCCAGAAAGAUGAUUACAUCAAUCAGUGUCAGUGACGGAUGCUGUGGCGUAUGAAUAUGCAUAGUGAGUGCCCAGUUAGACAAGGGGUUCUUAGGAAGAUAAUUGAUUGGACAGGAAGGCGGCAUGGUGAGAGGAUCUACAAAAAGGGCCAGUCUUUUUUAAGGGGACAUUUCAAUAGGACUUUUCUCACCCUCUCUCUCUCUUUCCCUCUCGGGGUCUAUAAGCGCUACAUGGCGAAGACGUGACAUCACGGCUUAGCGCAAAGUUCUUGUCUGUUUUUAUGUUAGCAACCAAAGCACAAAGACCGACCAAGUUACACAAGAUGUAAUGGAUUGUGUUUCCUGCGCUUGCCUGUGGUGUCUGUUUAGCCCAAAAUAUGAAAAAUCACAGAAAAACAGCAUGGUGUGUUUUGACCUUCAUAAUCGUGAAAUGGUGGUCUACCAUGGGGUCCAGUUCAACUGAGGUUACUGGAAAUGAAAACAUUUAGAGAUGGUUAAAUGUUUUGGGAUUAGAGUUCUUAUAACAUAUUUUUUGUUUAUACCGCCUUGUAUUUUAAUCCCUAAAAAUGUGUAUUCUCAUUUACGCGACAUAUUUUAGACGCAAUCAAUUAUUUAUUCCAUCUACCUGCUUUUCGAAAUAUUCAGUAGGCUAACAUGAAAGGCUGACGUAGGCUAGAAAUAUCUAAUGCAGUGUCGAUUUUCAAGAAAGUUAAGUGUACGGUUUCUGCGGGGAUUACGUAAAACAGUAAGUAAAUAAUACUGGUUGCAAACAUCAACUUCAAAUUUCGUGAUUCAUGAUGUAAGCGACGGCAGGUACUUGAUCUUAAUAUUGUGUACACACAGUCCUUAUUAAUCGUCUAGCCAAAAUACUACUGCAUUGUGAAAUUCCACCAAUCUUCUGUUAGUUCCCUUUAAAUGUACAAUAUUACAAUUACUUUCCCAAAUAACUUUGCACUGAACGUGAAGUAAAAAUCUGCGCUUGUCUAUGGGUGACAAGGAAAUUAAUGCAUUAAUGCUAAUGAGAUAGUAUUUUGUCAUUAGAAAAAGCACUGCUGAGGUCACUUUGAGAUAACAAUUUUCCCACAAACGACGGCACCCUCUGUAUAACUCUGGUUUGGCACUGGUAUUGUCUGUAAACAUCUAAAACAUUCCCUUUUUGAUUUGGUUUGUUCCUCUUUACGAAGGCCCCGUUGACAUGAAAACGGAAGAGGAACAACCACAGCAAACAGCUGCGAGAGGGCCAGACAAAGCAUCCAGCUCCAGCUGUUCCUGAAGCAGCCACAGCUGCACUAACACAGGCUAAAGGUCCCGAGCUAGCUGCUGGGGGUCAGACGGCACUGGCUUAGCGACUGCACCACGGCUGAGAACGGCCAAUUGUGAAGAUUACGAGAGCUCUGAGUGGUGUCUACUGAACUUGUGUGAAAAAAUAAGCAUCAUAAUAAAGUUAACAGGCUGCUGGAAGAGAUUA